UCCUCCUACAAAGGCGUGUCUGUGGUUCCCCAUCUUUGGACACGGAAGAAUUGGAGGCAAAGAAAUGUGGAUUUGGAGCAGUCUGGGGCCAGCUUACUCCCCACAGGCUCAAGAUCAACCAUCCCAUAUAG